AGUUUUCUUCUCCAUCUCGGAGUUCGAUUUGGCCGCACUCGCUUCCAAUCUUGACCGGACGGAGCGGCAGAUGAUGACGCAAAAUAGCUUUGUUGCGGCCUUGCGGGUGAUUUUGGUUCUACAGAGUCCCACAAUGUCUAAUUAGGUGGCGAUUUUAGCAUCCAGGAUGAUGGAACGAUCGUGUUUUUGUUUUGGGAGCACGAGGUGCUACUGGUCUAGAACUUACGGUUGGGAGUAAGAUUUUGAGGUGUCAGGACGAUCCUUCUGCGGGUAACAUUGGACUAUCUCCAAGGUCUCAAGGUUGGGAAUUUCUUGAUCAUAAAAGAAGGAAAAAUAAGAUACAGUGACUUCAUCGACAAGGAGUUGAAAUUCCAUACAUUUGUUGAUGGGCUAUAAAGCCCACCUAGAGAAAAGUUCUCUUCUCUGCUUUUAAGAAGAACUUGACCAAAGAGAUCAGAGUUUCUCAGUUCAACGAUUAUGUGUCCAAGAAAUCAGCUAACCAUCAUGGUGAAGCUAGCAUACAGAGUACAAUUGUUGAUAUGGCACAGAGUAUCGUGGGUGAAAAUAACCUUAAUCUUCUCAUGCCAAAUGGACAGUUUGGUAUAUGUAAUCUGGGAGGAGAGGAUGCUGCCAGUGUCAGAUAGAUGUACACAAGGCUGGCUGAAAUCACCAGGGAAUUGCCAGGAAAGACACUGGAAUCACUUCACAUUUAGUGGAACUAUUGAGGUAGUGGAUGAAGACAGUGCAAAUGAUGCAAGUGAAGGUGGCGAUGUAACUCUCAGGAAUCACUGAACUGCCAGUUCGGAAGUGGACUCGAGAUUAUAAGGAAUUUUAAAGAGAGACAGAAAUCAAAUGAUGCAGGGAAGUGGACUCGGGAUUGUAAGAGCAUAGAUGAUUGAUUCAAGAAGAAAAUUUCGGGGAGAGGGACCUCUCAAAUCGCUCUUUCGCUAGGCUGUUAGAUGGUGUGUGUGACUUUUACCUAUUUUCUUGUACGAUUGUUAGAUUGAUCCAUUUCCUACUAAAUGACUUUCAUCAUUAAUUUUAACCAUUUUUGCAUGGCGCAAAAAGGCGCACUUUGAGGCACAAAAAGGCGCACCUCCCGAGGCACACACCAUUUUUUCACUUUUUUUUUGAAUGAGGGGCACCAAGGUGGAACUCUAAAUCGUCUUGUUGCGCCUUGAGCCUUUUUAUACAUUGGUGAUCACUAUUGUAGCAAACAGACCUUCAUUGUCUUUGCCUUUGCAAUUUUAUAACAUGUUCUACUUCUACCAUUUUCUUCUUUUCUAUGUUUCUAUUUUUUAUUUAUUUUUUAUGAUG